rnacentral:lncRNA from 1 species
AUUUAUAUUUGCACUGGCUCCAGUCUGCGGUGGGGCUGGAAAGUGUAUUUCAUUCAGGAGGAGUCGGGGGCGGCUGGGCAGCUUCCUGGCAGAGGUGACAUAGGGAUACAUUGGCAGGGUCAUUCCCCCGGAGAGAGGGCUGGAGGCUGGAUGGCACGGAGAGGAAGAGAAACAGGCUAAUACUGCCAGGCCCUGGGGCCCUGCUUCCUGACCGGGUGGGAGACCCUUGAUACACACAACACACACCCCGCCCUCAUACAGCAUGUCACUUCAAGGGAAGGGUAGGGGUUUCCAGCCUUCCGCCAGCGACAGUAAAUCACUCUGCCUUGCACCGUUGUCCACCAGGAAACUAAACCACCCUGCCUUGCACCGUUGUCCACAAGGAAACUAAACCCCCCUGCCUUGCAUCGUUGUCCACCAGGAAACUAAACCACCCAGCCUUGCACCGUUGUCCACCAGGAAACUAAACCCCCCUACCUUGCACCGUUGUCCACCAGGAAACUAAACCACCCAGCCUUGCAUCGUUGUCCACCAGGAAACUAAACCCCCCUGCCUUGCAUCGUUGUCCACCAGGAAACUAAACCACCCUGCCUUGCAUCGUUGUCCACCAG